UCUACUUCCUGACUGGGGAUACAAUUCACAUAGCUGUCACAAGCUCCUGUCAUCGUGACUUCCCACCAUGAUGAACUGUACCCCAGGACUGCGAGCCUAACUAAUCUCUUCCUCCAUUAAGUUGCUUUUGUCAAAUAUUCUGUCACAGUGAAAAGGGAGAUCCCAGCAUACCAACCCCAGAGAUGCCACAACUGUCUGCACCACUCAGGAGCGGCCAGAACAGCACUCUGAAGGCUCCAGGCUUCUCUUUUGCUGUCUGUGGAUUCCUAACUUGAAAAAAGAGGAAGGGAGAAGCUGAAAACUGAGAACCUAUAGAAGAGAUAAAAAGCUCAAGUGAUCCCAGGAAAAGAGACUGGACAGUCAGCCAGGAAAUGCAAGAGAGAAGGAAAAGGACAAAACACAAAGGACGAGAGCUUCCCCAUGUAGGGGGCAAAGUGGGGCCUCUUGCAUCUGUUUGAAGUACUAGAAGCUUUUAUAAAAGGCUGGGAAAGCAGCCAUGACUUGGUUCGAGGUGUCUCACAAGGCUGAAAUCCGGUAUUGGCAAGGCCUGCUGUCAUUGCGAGGCUGGACGGGUCAGAUCUGCUUCCAAGUUCACUCUAACAGCUUCUGGCAGGCUUCCAGUCUUCUCAGAUUUCUGGCUGGAGACAUCCUUCUUGCCACAUGGGCCUCAUCAUGGAACAGUUUAAAAUAAGGCAUCUGUCUUCCUCAGAGUGAGAAAGCGAAGACACCAAGACAGAAGCCACAAUCUUCUUGUAGUCCAGUCCUGGAGAUGACCCCCCCAUCAUGUUUGCCAUAACCUACUUGUUAGAGGCAAAUCACUGGGCCCAGGCCACAUACUCAAGAAAAGGAGCUCACAGAGCAAAGCCCUUGCUCAGCAGUUGAGGGCAACCUUUAUUCUCCCCUGGAGCUCUGAGAAGUUGUUUUGGAUUUAAUGAAUAAAAUAGGAAGUCCAGAGGCCUGGAGAAUGACUCAU